rnacentral:rRNA from 1 species
AUUGAACGCUGGCGGCAGGCCUAACACAUGCAAGUCGAACGGUAACAGGAGGCAGCUUGCUGCUUCGCUGACGAGUGGCGGACGGGUGAGUAAUGUCUGGGAAGCUGCCUGAUGGAGGGGGAUAACUACUGGAAACGGUAGCUAAUACCGCAUAAUGUCGCAAGACCAAAGAGGGGGACCUUCGGGCCUCUUGCCAUCGGAUGUGCCCAGAUGGGAUUAGCUUGUUGGUGGGGUAACGGCUCACCAAGGCGACGAUCCCUAGCUGGUCUGAGAGGAUGACCAGCCACACUGGAACUGAGACACGGUCCAGACUCCUACGGGAGGCAGCAGUGGGGAAUAUUGCACAAAGGGCGCAAGCCUGAUGCAGCCAUGCCGCGUGUAUGAAGAAGGCCUUCGGGUUGUAAAGUACUUUCAGCGGGGAGGAAGGGAGUAAAGUUAAUACCUUUGCUCAUUGACGUUACCCGCAGAAGAAGCACCGGCUAACUCCGUG